UUCAUUCAAAUCUGGCUCUCUCUCAAUUCUAAGGGGAUCUUAUCAUUUUGGGAACCUCCUUUAAGUCCAUAGGACCAUUUGUAAGUGUCCUUUCGUGACUAGUUUGUUUAUUUAGCUAGACCAUAAACGGUCAAGCCAUUGUUCACAACGAACAUGGCUACGUGAUCGUAAUUAGGUAGGUGUUAAACCCUCAACAGGGCACCUCCUAAUUAUUAUGUAUGCUUAGCUAAUUGUCGGGUCAAAGUAAUUCAAAUAAAAGUCAAACGAGUCAGUUUUUAAAUAAAAUUCAUAACUAAUGAUGGAGUAGCUAUAAAAUCAGUUUUAUCACUUUAAUAACUUGGUAAAUAUUAAUUGAACAUGUCUAGGCAUGUUCAACCCGACAAUUCUGAGUAUUAGGCUCGGUUCACAACCGAAAGUCGCAAAAUAUAACCCUCCGAGGUCAUACUACAUGAUCCCUUGGAAAUCAUAGUUCAUUUGCAUGUUUCCGUUAAAUGCUUAAAAAUUGACUAUUAUGCCCUUAUGUUAUAAGAACGAGAUUUUUGAAAAUGUGAGAGGACAAAAAGCUUUAUUACUGAUUUAUAAGUAUGUCCUAAAAAUUUGACAUCUGUUUCUGGUCUCAAAUAAGAGUUAUGCAAGAUAUCGUAAAAAUGAAACUUUUUGUUAAUUAAAUGGCAUUUUUAGCAUAAAUCAUAUUUAAAUCCAAUUUUUGGCACCAAACUUGCUACCCACUGUUAUGAUAUAAUAUUUAGGGGUUUUUGGAAAAUUUUUCCAAAUUUUAUACUGACCAUAACAUAGAGUUCUUGUGUAAUUCGGUAAUUGACGAUAAUGCCCUUUUCAUCAAUAAAAUGGGUUUUACAUAUCAUUUACAUACCAAACUUUUUCCUACUAAUGUUAUAUGUUAAAUAAAAUAUUUUUAACAUUAA
rnacentral:lncRNA from 1 species